AUGUGCGAAAGUUUUAACAAGUGGAUAGUAGAAGCUAGGUUUCUCCCAAUUCUUUUCAUGCUAGAGACAAUUAGGAGAAUGGUGAUGGUUAGAAUACAAGAGAACAGAGACAAGUGUGAGAAAUGGGAUGAUCCUAUAUGUCCUAAUAUAAACAAGAAAUUAAGCAAGGCCAUCGAUGUAUCUGGUAUAUGUCAUGCAGUUAGCAAUGGAAAUAACUGUUUUGAGGUGCAACAUGGAUCUCAAAGGUUUACAGUUGAUCUCAAUCAAAUGACCUGUAGCUGUAGGUAUUGGCAGUUAUCUGGUAUAGUUUGUGCUCAUGCCGUCUCUGCAAUCCAUCAACACACCAAUCAGUUACAUGGUUAUGUGGCUAGUUGUUACUCAGUGGAAGCAUUCAAGAAAACCUAUGCAUAUUGCCUGCAACCAGUUGAAGGACCCCAAGGUUGGCCAGAAUCAGACAAGCCUAAACCACUAGCUCCUAGAUAUGUUAAGAUGCCAGGAAGGCCUCGGAAAGAGAGAAAAAGAGAGGGUACUGAAAAACCAAAAGCUACCAAAGUUUCGAGGGUUGGAACUUUGAUUAGAUGCAGGAAAUGCAAGUGCACUGGUCACAAUAAAACUACAUGUCCAGGAAAUGCCGCUUCAAGUUCAAAUGGAGCAGCUACUGUUGGACAAAAUGCAGCUUCAGGAAAUGCCGCUAGAUCAUUUACCAAGUCAAGAAGCAAUGCAAAAGCCUCCAAGAUGUCUAGUUCCCAGGUACAAUACACAUAA
rnacentral:rRNA from 1 species